UACGGAGGGUGCAAGCGUUGUCCGGAAUUAUUGGGCGUAAAGAGCUCGUAGGCGGUUUGUUGCGUCGGCCGUGAAAACCUGCAGCUUAACUGUGGGCCUGCGGCCGAUACGGGCAGACUUGAGUUCGGUAGGGGAGACUGGAAUUCCUGGUGUAGCGGUGAAAUGCGCAGAUAUCAGGAGGAACACCGGUGGCGAAGGCGGGUCUCUGGGCCGAUACUGACGCUGAGGAGCGAAAGCGUGGGGAGCGAACAGG
rnacentral:rRNA from 1 species